rnacentral:rRNA from 1 species
GGAGGUAGUGACGUGAAAUAACGAUGCGGGACUCUUCCGAGGCCUCGCAAUCGGAAUGAGUUAACUUUAAAUCCUUUCGACGAGGAUCGAUUGGAGGGCAAGUCUGGUGCCAGCAGCCGCGGUAAUUCCAGCUCCAAUAGCGUAUAUUAAAGUUGCUGCGGUUAAAAAGCUCGUAGUUUAACCUCACGAUUCGAGAGGAGGUGAGCGCAGCCGUAGUAGUAGUACUACUACUACUAGAAACAACCUCGAAUUCUCCUUCUCAUUCUUCUCGUUACGGUAGAAGAAGUGCUACUAGGGGGAUGUCGUAAGCUCCAAUAAAGGGUGAUGAAGACGGUACUAGUUGAUUUUAUGAUGGUUGGUAACGGAGGCGGUCGCUGCUGCUGCUGCUGCUGUUAUGGUAAUAGUAGUACUUCAGUGGCAGACGACCGCAGCCGCUGCUGACGCUGCUACUACUUCGUUCAUCGUCGACUCCCUCUUCGUUGCUGGUGCUCUUCCUCCUCUUCCUUCUCUCCAACAACGGACGGGUAGAGAAGGAGAAGAACGAGAGAAUAAAGUUCCACGGCUUAAUAAAUCACCAGUCCACUUCGAUGGAGAAAUUAUUAUUGUCCGGCCGGCUAGCGGUGUAGUAGUAGUAGCAAGAGCAUCUCCGGAAUGGGUGGUGGUAGAUGAUUAUUACAAUUAAUACCUCUUCCAUCUUCGGUGAUGAUGCUGCUGCUGCUGCUCGCGCGCUUGCAUUCGGUCGGCAACUUCACUUUGACAAAAUUAGAGUGCUCAGAGCGGGCAAGAUCUGAAGCCCGAAUGGAGGUGCAUAGAAUGAUCUAAGAUGACCUCGCGAUCUAAACGUUUGUCGGUUUAUGGGGUCGCGAGGUAAUGAUUAAA